rnacentral:rRNA from 1 species
CUCGAGCGGAAACGAUCCUAGCUUGCUAGGAGGCGUCGAGCGGCGGACGGGUGAGUAAUGCAUAGGAAUCUGCCCGGUAGUGGGGGAUAACUUGAGGAAACUCAAGCUAAUACCGCAUACGCCCCAAGGGGGAAAGCAGGGGAUCUUCGGACCUUGCGCUAUCGGAUGAGCCUAUGUCGGAUUAGCUAGUUGGUGAGGUAAUGGCUCACCAAGGCCGCGAUCCGUAGCUGGUCUGAGAGGAUGAUCAGCCACAUCGGGACUGAGACACGGCCCGAACUCCUACGGGAGGCAGCAGUGGGGAAUAUUGGACAAUGGGCGAAAGCCUGAUCCAGCCAUGCCGCGUGUGUGAAGAAGGCCUUCGGGUUGUAAAGCACUUUCAGCGAGGAAGAACGCUUGUGGGUUAAUACCCCGCAAGAAGGACAUCACUCGCAGAAGAAGCACCGGCUAACUCCGUGCCAGCAGCCGCGGUAAUACGGAGGGUGCAAGCGUUAAUCGGAAUUACUGGGCGUAAAGCGCGCGUAGGCGGCUUGAUAAGCCGGUUGUGAAAGCCCCGGGCUCAACCUGGGAACGGCAUCCGGAACUGUCAGGCUAGAGUGCAGGAGAGGAAGGUAGAAUUCCCGGUGUAGCGGUGAAAUGCGUAGAGAUCGGGAGGAAUACCAGUGGCGAAGGCGGCCUUCUGGACUGACACUGACGCUGAGGUGCGAAAGCGUGGGUAGCAAACAGGAUUAGAUACCCUGGUAGUCCACGCCGUAAACGAUGUCGACUAGCCGUUGGG